GCCUAGCCAUAAAAAAACAACCAAACAACAAGUUGUUCGCCAAAUAACUACGAGUGAAAACUUAAAAUUUAAAAGACUUGACGGUACUUCACACCAACCUAGAGGAGCCUGUCUAAUAACCGAUAAUCCACGAUUAACCCAACCCAACCUAGCCACACAAACAGUCUAUAUACCGCCGUCGCCAGCCUACCUUGUGAAAGAAAAACAGUAAGCACAACAGCACACACUAACACGACAGGUCGAGGUGUAACUAAUGGUUGGGUAUAAGAUGGGCUACAUUUUUUAACCCAAAACAAACGGACAGACCUUGAAAUAAGAAACUAAAGGAGGAUUUAGCAGUAAGAUAAGAACAUAAUACUUACCUGAAAUUUGCAAUGAAGUGCGUACACACCGCCCGUCAUCCCUGCAACAAUACAACACCAAUAAAUAAAACAAAAAACUACACAAAUCA
rnacentral:rRNA from 1 species